rnacentral:lncRNA from 1 species
CCUGCAGAUGCUUGCUCUGGGCAUGCAGGGGCCCCUGGGGAAGGAUCCGCGCCUGGCUCCCUCUCUCCAUCUGUCCCUCGUUUUGGACGGGAAGUCGACUAUCAUUCCUGACGUUCCAGUGUAACGUGUUAUGUUUCUCUGAUGGCUUUGGGGAUUUUAUCUUCCGUUGCCAGUUUCUUGACUAUGAUAUGCCUACUUUUUACCAAAUUUGGAUAAUUUUUGCCAAUAUUUGGGGGGGUUGCCCCAUGUUCUUUCUCCUCUCCUGUGGCUCCACGGACAUGGACAUCAGGCCUCUCCCUGCCUUCCACGAGCUCCUGGGCCCUGUGCUUCUGUGUGGUGUUUUCUAAAAGCCUCUCAUCUCUAGAAUGAGUCACUGUGGCUGCUAUGUCUUCGUGUUCACUGCCUUUUCUUUCGUUCUUCACUCUGCUGCUGAGCUCAGCCAGGGGCAUUUGUGCUCUGGAGAUUUUAGUUCUUGCUCUGGAGUGGGCCUGGCCUUCCUCCGAGGCUCUGUGUCUCUGCUCAGCUCUCCAGCCCGCCUGCCUGGCAAGCACGUUUUCCUGUGCUUUCCGGUCCUGAUGCUUUCCUGCGUCCGUGUGGAGCCAGCGCUUGGGGUGUGGUGUGUAGAGAGGGGAAUGUGGACAUGCAGUGCGUGCUGUGGGGGCUGACGGGCUGGGGCCGGUGUGGAUGUCGUGUCGGGGGCCGAGCCAACGGGCCAGGGCCAGUGUGGAUGUCAUGUUGGGGGACGACGGACUAGGGCCAGUGUGAAUGUCUUGUUGGGGGCCCAGCUGACGGGCCAGGGCUGGUGUGGAUGUCCUGUUGGGAGCCGACAGGCUGGGGCCAUUGUGGAUGUCGUGUUGGGGGCUAAGCCGACGGGCCAGGGCCGGUGCAGAUGUUGUGCUGGGGGCCGACAGGCUGGGGCCAGUGUGGAUGUCCUGUCCAGCAAGGCCCUGGAGGUGGUGUCCGGGCAGUCUUGACCGAGGCCGGAAGGAUGGUGCCGGGGGCAGGAGCCUGACUGCCUCGGAGGAAGGGGGUCCCGGGGCGGAGCUGUGGGGUGGGGAGCCCAUUGUGGAUGCUGGCUGCUUCACCCUCACCCCCACGUUCUGUCUGUGGGUCUCCGUGAGGCUCCUCCCAGGGCGGCCCUGCCACAUGAUGUAGCUGAAACCCAGUCCUCUCUGCACACCAGUGUUUCUAGGAAAACACUUCCUGUCUUUCUCCCCAAGACCUCCAGGACGUGGGCCUGAGGUCAUCACUGCCUCCUUCAGUUGCUGCUGCCCGAGGCCCCCAAGAGUGACCCACAUGAGACUGCGGUCCAGACGCCCUCCCUGCCUCUGAGGGCGCACACUGUCCAGAGCGGGUCUGUGGGUGGAAUGCCCCCAGCGGCCUCCGGGCCCCUUGUCUGUGGGGCCUGUGCCCUGGUGCUGCCGGCACUGCUGUCCUCACGCGAGCGCUGGAGAUAUGAGCUUUCCCAGGGGGGCUCAGCAGUGAUGAAGGUGGGGCAGGAGCUGUGUGUGUCCACCAUAGGUCCUGACAGAGAUGAAGCAGAGGCCACAGGGCUGCCCUGCCCCCUGCCGCGGGCAUGUGGGGUGAUUCCCGCCCACUUCUCAGGUGUGCCAACCCCCACGUUCCUUCCCUGUGAGUGUGUGAGCUCACAUAGCCCCUGGACACACCACCCUCCACGUGGGGUGGAUCGUGCCUGUUGGCCACACUGAGCACACCUGGAAACGCCGACUGCCGAGUGUCAGGGGAGGGUCUGGAAAAGCCGCGAGUGAAAACAGACUGUCCCCCGAGACUGUGUGGUGAGGGGAACACCUGAUUCUGCAGCCUGGGAGUCCACGCCGACAUGCCGACUGCCCACACAGGUGUCACAGCAGGGAUGUGGAUGCUACUGUCACGUGACUUUAGCUCUGCCUUCAAGAUGAGUUUGCAGCAUGGCAGCCCCUGGGUGGCGUCUCCAUCCCCGACGCUGAGCAGUACUCAUGCUCUCAGAGCUCGCUGCGCAGAGAAAUAGCCGUAACAGACCCGGAGCUCAAUAUUCAGGGGAUCCCAGAGCUGGCUGUGCAGAGCAAUGGCCAUAACAGACCCGGAGCUCAACACUCAGAGGAUCUGCGAGGGGACACCCGGGAGGUGGCUAGUUGCCAGGAGAGGGGUGUUCCUGACAUACCUUCAUUUGCUGCCAGGGAGCCAACGAGGCAUCCCAAGGCCGCAGGCCUCAGUGGCAGAGCCUGCACUUGUCCCUCUGAAGCUUUUUCAAACAUGGUCACAAAAGAUGUUUUCCCCGUGGCCAGAGACAUGGAGAAGUGGGGUCUGGGGCUCUGCAUGUGGGCGGAUCACAGACAAGGCCACCUGGUGUCCCGGGGCCAUGUGGGUGUGGCCUACCAGUGCCCAGCCCCGCCACUGGCGCGCAGCGAGAGCCGAACUCCCCAGCCCCCAUCAUCCAGCCCCAGGGGCGUCUGUAGCCCACAGCCCCUGUUCCGUGAUAGUGCAAAGUAAGAUUUGCAGUGCUAUUUCAUAACUUUUCAGCUUAAAAUAUAACCUGUAAAAAUGAAGGAAACUUUUAAAAGCUCCCAGCUCUCUCUGGGGCCGCCAUUAGAAGCCCCUGGGGUGGCAGAGGGCGGCCCGGCGCAGAGCUGAGUGACAGGCAGUCAAGAUGGAAGCGCUUUGCUCCCUCGUCCCCGAUUUUAACAGCGAACUUAAUGGAUUUCCUGUUUCUAACGUGGAUGGUGGCUGUCAUUUUUGAAGGAUCCAUCUGUGCUAUAUUUAAUGACUCUCCCUAAGUAACUAAAAUAGUUUCCACAGAGUUAAUGAGGCCUCAGCUGGCGUUCUCUCCUACAGUGGCCAUUGCAAUGACUUGCACCUCCAAAGCGUUGUGUUAAAUCACGUUUCUUCCUUGGUCAGAGGCGGCUCAGCCCACAACCCACUGGCCCCUCAUCCCUCCCUUUGCCGGAGGCUACCCCGUGUCCCUCCCUGUGUCCUGAGGGCUGCCCCCACCCUGCACACCUUCUGCACCCUCCGAGCCUCUGCCCCUCACUGGUGGCCAGGCAGCGCCUGGGUGUCACCUGCCCCAGCUGCUGAGUCUCACCUGCCCCAGGCCCCCAAGUCUCACCUGCUCCGGCCCCCGCGUCCCACGUGCUCCGGCCCCUGCAUCUCACCUGCUCCGGCCCCCGGUGAUGGUGCUCAUCUCACCCGCCUGAGGCACCGCAGUCGCCCCACCCUGCGUGUCUC